UUGGAGACCCUAGAUAAUCUCAGGCCAAUCACUGCAGGUACAGUGAAACUGCAAAUGGCUCAUUAAAUCAGUUAUGGUUCCUUUGGUUGCUUGCUCCACUUCUACUUGAAUAACUGAUAAUCUUAGCGAUAAUCCAUGCCUAUGGGCACUGACUCUCUUUGCGUGAUGUGUGGUGGGGGGAAAUCCUUGAAUUUAUCAGGCCAAAACCAACCUGGUCAGCCUCCUCCCCUCACUCCCUGGCCCCAGCUGGCAGGGGGAGGGGGUUGGCUUUGGAGACCCUAGAUAAUCUCAGGCCAAUCACAUGGCCCUGUGGCAGCAACAACUCCUUCGAAUGCCUGCCCUAUCAACUUUCAAUGGUAGUCACUGUGCCUACCAUGGUGACCAUGAGUGAUGGGGAGUCAGGGUUCAAAUCUGGAGAGGGAGUCUGAGAAAUGGCCUCCACAACCAAGGAAGGCAGCAGGCAUGCAAAUUACCCACUCCGUUCCCAGUGAGGUAGUGAUGAAAAAUAACACUACAGAACUCUUUCGAGGCCCUGUAAUUGGAAUGAGUCUACUUUAAAUCCUUCCACGAGGAUCCAUUGGAGGGCAAGUCUGAUGCCAGCAGCCAUUGUAAUUCUACCUCCAAUGGCAUAUAUUAAAGUUGCUGCAGUUAAAAAGCUCAUAGUUGGAUCUUGGGAGUGGGCAGGCUGUCUGCAACAAGGCGAGCCACCACCGGUCCUACACCUUGCCCCUCAGCACCCUCUUGAUGCUCUUAGCUUAGGUGCCCCAUGGGGUUGGAAUGAGUCCACUUUAAAUCCUUCCACGAGGAUCCAUUGGUGGGCAAGUCUGAUGCCAGCAGCCAUUGUAAUUCUACCUCCAAUAGCAUAUAUUAAAGUUGCUGCAGUUAAAAAGCUCAUAUUGGAUCUUGGGAGUGGGCAGGCUGUCUGCAACAAGGCGAGCCACCACCGGUCUUACACCUUGCCUCUCAGCACCCUCUUGAUGCUCUUAGCUUAGGUGCCCCAUGGGGCCCUAAGCAUUUACUUUGAAAAAAAUUAGAGUAUUCGAAGCAGGCCCAAGCCUCCUGGAUACCACAGCUAAGAAUAAUGGAAUAGGACCAUGGUUCUACUUUGUUGGUUUUCAGAACUGAGGCCAUGAUUAAGGACAGCCAGGGACAUUCAUAUUGCACCACUAGAGGUGAAAUUCUUGGACCAGUACAAGAUGGACCAGAGCAAAAGCAUUUGCCAAGAAUGUUUUCAUCAAUCAAGAACAAAAAUCAGAAGUUUGAAGACAAUCAGAUGCUGUCAUAGUUCCAACCAUAAACGAUACCAACUGGAGAUGUGGUGACGUUAUUCCCGUGACCCACCAGGCAGCUUCCGGGAAACCAAAGUCUUUGGAUUCUGGGGGGAGUAUGGUUGAAAAGGUGAAACUUAAAGGAAUUGAUGGAAGGGCACCACCAGGAGUGGAGCCUGCAGCUUAUAUUGACUCAACAUGGGAAACCUCUCCCCACCUGGACAUGGACAGGAUUGACAGAUUGGUAGCUCUUUCUCAGUUCCAUGGGUGCUGGUGCAUGGCCGUUCUUAGUUGGUGGAGCCAUUUGUCUGGUUAAUUCUGAUAACCAGUGAGACUCUGGCACUGGCAUGCUAACUAGUUAUGUGACCUCCAAGUGGUCAGCAUCCCCCAACUUCUUAGAGAGACAAGUGGCAUUCAGCCCCCUAAGAUUGAGCAAUAACAGGUCUGUGAUGCCCUUAGGUGUCUGGGGCUGCACGUGCACUACACUGACUGGCAGGCACUGGUAACCCGCUGAACCCUGCUCAUGAUGGGGAUCAGGGAUUGCAAUUAUUCCCCAUGAACGAGGAAUUCCCAGUAAGUGUGAAUCAUAAGCUUGUGUUGAUUAAGUCCCUGCCAUUUGUACACACCGCCCAUCGCUACUACCAAUUGGAUGGUUUAGUGAGGUUCUCAGAUACACCCCACCAGGGUUGGCACACAGCCCUGGCAGACUGCUGAGAUGGUUGAACUUGACUACCUAGAGGAAGUAAAAGUCAUAACAAGCUUUCUGUAGGUGAAUGUGUGGAAG
rnacentral:rRNA from 1 species